AUAGCUUCUGCACUAUUUGUAGCCGCAAUUCAACAUCGAGGUCGCAAACAAUUAUUUUAAUAAGGGCUUAAAUAAUUAUAACGCUGUUAUCCCUAGAGUACCUUAUUCGUCUAAUUUAAUAAAGAUCAUUGUUAAUAUAAAUAGUCCUAUUUAAAUUUACCCCAAAUAAACUUGUGUACAAUUAUUACUUCAUUAAUUAAGUAAAGGUUCAUAGGGCCUUCUCGUCAAA
rnacentral:rRNA from 1 species